rnacentral:misc_RNA from 1 species
AGAUGUUCUCCCUUUGACUCCCUCUGUUUCUUCGGUGUCACACCUUUUCCUUUCUUCUCACUACUUCUAGCCGUAACCAACAUAGCAUAGCAUGUACACCGACUGGAACAGGGUCAAGAACACUUCUUUUGAAAUACCCAUCUCCUUCGUUUCUCAUCUAUCCAUCUAAAAUUCUCUCUUCAUCAUUUUUUUUCUAUCUUUUCUCACCAUGUCCUGUUCUGGAGGUAAAGGGGAAUCACGUGCACCGUACUCGAAUGUCUCUGUCUGUGAUUGCCCCUCCUUCUCCAACCUACUCAAAAGCGUUUUGACGACCAAUUCUUCUACUUUUCGAUUUCAGGGACAACAUGAGACACCUCAACAAGAUAAUGUGGUGAGCAAAAAGCCUAAAGAAGAUGGAGCAAAGUUGGAACUUCAAGCUGAAUGCGCAAAUCCUUCUACCGGUAUAUCACCUCUUGCUCCAGCUGCAACAUCUCUGCCGCAUUCAGCUCCUGUAAUCCCAACUUCUGGGCUAAUAGUAGACCAGCAAAAUGCUGACUGUAAUACCUGUCUUUCCCAUAUUGUUAGGGAGACGCCUGCUAGUGAUGGGUAUAGCUGGAGGAAGUAUGGGCAAAAGCAGGUGAAGAGUUCUAGUAGUUCCCGAAGCUACUACAGGUGUGCGUUUUCUAAUUGCCAUGCAAAGAAGAAGAUUCAACGCUGUCAUCAUUCCAGUCGUAUCAUUGAUAUUGUUUAUAUAGGUCACCAUAAUCAUGAUCUCUCUCAAAAUAAAUGCAAUGUGUCAAGAGCGUCUGUAGCAUCCUCUAAGCUUGCUGCAGGCAGUAAUAUUGUUGAUUCUAUUCAAAAGGUCGAUGGUGCAGAUAUGUCUAUCUGCUGGGAAGACACCAGGCAGUCAUCCGUGCAUAUUGCUGAAUCUGAACAACAGAGUUCCAGUAGCUCUACUGGCGAUAUUAGGAUUAAGGUUGAGGAGCAUAAUGGUAAUGAGCUGGACUCAAAAAAAUUUGGGGCAGAACACCAGAAAAAUAGUUCUUGUGGAAUUGCAAAUGCUGAGGUUCAGGAGAAGCAUGGUGCUGAACCAAGGCUGAAAAAAAGGAGUGCAUAUUCAGCUCCGGUCUUGGAAGCUAAUAAGGAGAUUAAGAUUGUUGUGCAUACUACUGCUGAUGGGGGCAUCUCAAGUGAUGGCUACCGAUGGCGCAAGUAUGGCCAGAAAAUGGUGAAGGGGAAUUCUCACAUAAGGUGAAUUUUCAUAUUAAUUUGACAUUUUUUAGUGGAUAGUUUCAACUUUCAACGGAUUCUUCUUCUGUUGUACUCGUACAUAUCAACCCGGGUUUUUAGCCAUUGCACUGCUUUGUGUAUGGUUGCAUACUCAUACUUCCAUGGUAUAUGCGCUUGUGAAUAUUUGUGCAUGCCAUGGUGAUUUAUAGAUAUAUGCUGCGUUUCAUACUCAAUCUCAAUUCUUGUUCUUACUUUCACUUGUCCUCUUGAUGAAAUGUUAGGAGUUAUUAUAGAUGCACAUCAGGCGGAUGCUCUGCCCGCAAGCAUGUUGAGAGGGCGACAGAUGAUGCAACAACAUCUACAAUAACAUACGAAGGGAAACAUGACCAUGACAUGCCAAUACCUAAGAAACAAAAAGGUUCAGAAAGUCUUGGUCUGAUUUCCUCUUCCGCCACAUCAAAUGGUGCUCAUUGCAAGAAAACAAAAACUUUAUCUAGUCAAAGGAUUUCAGCCAAAUGGUCAGUGGAUAGAGAAGGAGAUUUGAUGGACGAGAAGGUCUUAGAGCUUGGAGGUGAAAAGGCACUGGAGUCGGCUCAAACCCUUCUCAGCAUUGGAAUUGAACUCAGGCCUUGUUGAGAAGCAAAUAGUAGUGUUGAUUGAUACAAAAAUGUUUUCUAAAGUGCCAUCUUUGGCUUAGAUUAUGCACUGUUGAUUUGAGUUUAAUGAAAUUUUGGCAAUUUUACUUGUAUAAUUUGUUCUUAAUGGACUUUCUUUUGUAAUGUCUUUCUGUGGAGCAUCUUAUUUUACUUGUCUAGUUCUUGUUGUUGUAGAGAUCGUUAAAACUAGUACAUCCCAUUUUAGAAUUUACAAGUUAAAGAAUU